rnacentral:rRNA from 1 species
GACGAACGCUGGCGGCGUGCCUAAUACAUGCAAGUCGAGCGAAGUUUUUCUGGUGCUUGCACUAGAAAAACUUAGCGGCGAACGGGUGAGUAACACGUAGAGAACCUGCCUCAUAGACUGGGACAACUAUUGGAAACGAUAGCUAAUACCGGAUAACAGCAUUAACUGCAUGGUUGAUGUUUAAAAGUUGGUUUUGCUAACACUAUGAGAUGGCUUUGCGGUGCAUUAGCUAGUUGGUGGGGUAAAGGCCUACCAAGGCGACGAUGCAUAGCCGACCUGAGAGGGUGAUCGGCCACACUGGGACUGAGACACGGCCCAGACUCCUACGGGAGGCAGCAGUAGGGAAUCUUCCGCAAUGGGCGAAAGCCUGACGGAGCAACGCCGCGUGAGUGAAGAAGGAUUUCGGUUCGUAAAGCUCUGUUGUUAGGGAAGAAUGAUUGUGUAGUAACUAUACACAGAGAGACG